rnacentral:misc_RNA from 1 species
AACGCACCUUGCGCUCCUUGGUAUUCCGAGGAGCAUGCCUGUUUGAGUGUCAUGAAAUUCUCAACCUUUCUGGCUUUCUUUUUCGAAAGUCAGUUUGGCUUGGAUUUUGGAGGUUGCUGGUUUUCUAGUAAAAUCGGCUCUUCUUAAAUACAUUAGCAAUCCUUUGCUGAUCCAUCAUUGGUAUGAUAAUUAUCUAUAUCAUUGAUAGUCAGUCUUCCCUUGCGGGAAGAGGCUUUGCUUCUAACUGUCCUUUUUUAAAAAAAGACAAAUUUUGACAACUUUGACCUCAAAUCAGGUAGGACUACCCGCUGAACUUAA